UACCUAUUCUUUCACCAACAAUUAAUUCUGUCUUUAAAAAUCCAUGUUUAAUGGGGUACCCGGGUGACUUGGUCGGUUGAGCCUCUCUCUGGCUCUUAAGUUUGGCUCAGGUCAUGAUCUCAAGAUCCUGAGAUCAAGCCCCAGUUCAGUCUGGCUCCAUGCUCAACGGGGAGUCUGCUGGAGAUGCUCUCUUCUUUUCCUCUGCCCCUCCCCUACCCUCUCUCUUUCUUUUUCAUUCUCUCUCAAAUAAACAAAUUAAUCUUUAAAAAAAAAAUCAUGUUUAAUGUCCUUGUCCUCCCCUGCAGUGAUGUUCCUGCUGGAUCUCCACCCCUUAGUGGGAAAGAUCACAACUCACAUGCUCAGUUUCAGCCAGGACAGUUCCGAGGCGACAGCUCAGGCUCUCCUCACCUGUUCAGCCGUAGCUUUUCAUCCAUACCCCAGGAUGCUUUAAAAAAGAAGAAGAAGAAGAAGAAGAAGACAAAAUGCAAAACUAUUUCCAUUGCCUCAUGGGCUUCUGGGAUGUCAUCACCUCCAGUUUAUUGGGUUUGUUUCCAAC
rnacentral:lncRNA from 1 species